rnacentral:rRNA from 1 species
UACAGAGGGGGCAAGCGUUGUUCGGAAUUACUGGGCGUAAAGGGCGCGUAGGCGGCCUUCUAAGUCGAACGUGAAAUCCCCGGGCUCAACCCGGGGAACUGCGUCCGAUACUGGAAGGCUUGAAUCCGGGAGAGGGGAUGCGGGAAUUCCAGGUGUAGCGGUGAAAUGCGUAGAUAUCUGGAGGAACACCGGUGGCGAAGGCGGCAUCCUGGACCGGUAUUGACGCUGAGGCGCGAAAGCCAGGGGAGCAAGCGGG